GAUGAACGCUGGCGGCGUGCCUAAUACAUGCAAGUCGAGCGAACGGACGAUAAGCUUGUUUCUCUGAUGUUAGCGGCGGACGGGUGAGUAACACGUGGAUAACCUACCUAUAAGUCUGGGAUAACUUCGGGAAACCGGAUCUAAUACCGGAUAAUAUUUUGAACCGCAUGGUUCAAAAGUGAAAGACGGUCUUUCUGUCACUUAUAGCUGGUUCGGGGCUGCAUUAUCUAGUUGGUAAGGUAACGGCUUACCAAGGCAACGAUGCAUAGCCGACCUGAGAGGAGGAUCGGCCACACGGGAACUGAGACACGGUCCAGACUCCUACGGGAGGCAGCAGUAGGGAAUAUUGGGCAAUGGGCGAAAGCCUGACGGAGCAACGCCGCGUGAGUGAUGAAGGUCUUCGGAUCGUAAAACUCUGUUAUUAGGGAAGAACAGAUGUGUAAGUAAAUGUGCACAUCUUGACGGUACCUAAUCAAAAAGCCACGGCUAACUACGUG
rnacentral:rRNA from 1 species